AUGGCGACGAGUCUGUAGCUGGUUUGAGCGAAUGAGUCAGCCACACUGGGACCUGAGACCACGGGCCCAGACUCCUACGGGAGGCAAGCCAGUGGGGAAUAUUGGACAAUGGGCGCAAGCCUGAUCCAGCAAUGCCGCGUGUGUGGAAGAAGGCCUUCGGGUUGUAAAGCACGUUUAAGUUGGGAAGGAAAAGCGUUGGGGUUAAUACGCCUUAAGUGUUGACGUUACCAACAGAAUAAGCACCGGCUAACUCCGUGCCAGCAGCCGCGGUAA
rnacentral:rRNA from 1 species